rnacentral:rRNA from 1 species
UACGUAGGGUGCGAGCGUUAACCGGAUUUACUGGGCGUAAAGCGCGCGCAGGCGGUUUUGUAAGCCAGAUGUGAAAGCCCCGGGCUUAACCUGGGAAUGGCAUUUGGGACUGCAAGGCUUGAGUGCGGCAGAGGAGACUGGAAUUCCUGGUGUAGCAGUGAAAUGCGUAGAUAUCAGGAGGAAUACCGAUGGCGAAGGCAGGUCUCUGGGCUGAUACUGACGCUCAUGAACGAAAGCGUGGGGAGCAAACAGG